rnacentral:lncRNA from 1 species
UUUUGCCUGAUUAAUGUGUAUAUUUUGAGAAUUCUUUCUUACAAAGCAGUGAAUUUUUGAUAUGCAAACCAAGGUUGAAGAGAAUUAGGGUCUCAGAUCAUACUGAAAUUCCUGCAGCUCACUGGGUGGUUCAACUAGACUGUCCAGAGGAUGCAAACACAUGCAUUCAUUGAGCUGGAAGAACAGCUAGAGUAAACCCACAGAAGCUUGGUCAAUUUAAAAGAAACUUGAAGCUCUAUGUGUACAAGACUUAGAAAUAAAGCAGUGGGCACAAAAGUCCAGGUGGAGAGAUUCACUUUCAAGCCACCAGGCUGGGUCAUGGCACUGUGUCCUUGAGUGAGAUACUUGACGCUCACAGUGCUUCUUUCCAGUCAGGAGUAUACAGAAGGAUAAUCAACAACUGUUAGGGAAACCUGUGAUGUACUAGUAUCCCAUUCAGUUACAUGCUGCAGAAACCAAGACUGGCUCCAGCAGAGUCGGCCACCGCUAUGCUUCAGAGUAGACUUUACCAUUUUUUAUCAAUCCCAAUAUAUUUUUACCAAAACACAUAAGUGUCCUUCUCAUUUGGAUAAUUUUAUUGGAUAACUUAAGGAAGAGAGUUAAUGUAGUCCUUUAUUUGUAAAUGUUUGUGGUAUUCCAUCUUCAUUAAGAAGUAAAAGUAUGUCAAAUUUAUUUUAUGAGGUCCUGUGACCUGUUAAGCAUACAGUGCAAUCAACUAUAAAAAGGUACAUCAAAUUAAGAAAAAAUUAUAAUUAUACUCUGACAUGCUUUGGUGCCUAGCUAAAUUACUGUUACUUUAAUUGGUCAAUAAAGCUACAUUGUGAAGUAAA